rnacentral:lncRNA from 1 species
UUUAUAGGUAAGUGAUUAUGAAAUGCAGUUGCCCAAAAUCAACAUGAAAUAACCCUACUUCAUAUAAUCAGACAGGCUAGCUGGACUGUCAACAAGAACCUUUAAUUUCAAAUCUGAUUUUCACAUCUGAUUUUCCAGGCUACCUGGAUGCACGCAACCUUCCAAACACUGGCUUUUACCCUUUUCUUCAGAGUCUGUUGUGUGAUGUGAGCUCACAAUGUUUUUGUGCGCCCACAUCACAACUAUUUUUCUGAAAACUUUGGCACAUCAAAACAGAGACGUUCUCCUCUUGGCAGCCAGUACAGCCAAUGGCAGGAGGGUACCAGCUUCAUUGACAGUAUAUUGGACUUGACCAAUGAUAUUUCAGAAAUCACAAAAAAGGCUUCUGUAUUGGAAAGAGAUUGGGUAGAGUUAUCAGGUAAUACACUUCCAUAUCCAUUUCUCGCACAAACCAAAUUCAGAUUUGAGCACUUUAAACUUACUGCUUACAUUUAUGCUGAGAAGACACAUUUUUAAACGAUGCUGGAUAUUUUAUGUUCUUUCCUUCAGAAUUGGCAGCAGACACAACAGAAAAUCG